GAUGAUUUGUUUUGAGUGAUGCAUCUCUAUUGUUGUGAAGAAUGGUGCAUGCUUGAGUUUUACUAUAGAGAUUUACCGUGAUGCUAAUUGAGUAGCGAAACACUUUGUGGGAGUGUUUACUGUGCUUGUAUGCCAGUACAGAGUGAUGAUCUAUGUGAAGAUCUAUGUGAUGAUCUAUGUGAAGAUCUAUGUAAGGAUCUAUGAGAUGAUCCACGUGAUGAUUUUGUGUAAUUGAUGUGGAGUGAUGUUGAGCAGUUGUUUUGUGAAUUUACAUUGUGAUGAAAGGAUUUAGUGGCCAUAGGAAUGUAUUUUUAUACAAAGGAUUGUGGCUUUGUAGAUUACUACAGAUUUGGAAAAGAUAGAGAUUCUAUGAUUAGGUCAACCUUAAUCGAGAGGAAUUGACUUACGCUCAAAUUUCGGGACGAAAUUUCUUUAAGGAGGGUAGAUUGUAAUACCCUGAAAAAUCCAAAUUAAAUUCCAUGGAUUUUUAGAAAUGAUUUCACGAUAGUAGGAGCGAGUACGAAGCUUGGAGAAGUUGUGGAAUUAGUUCGAACGAUUUUAUUUUCGAAAACGAACGUUUUUAGGGGGUCAACAAAGUUGACUUUUUAUACGUUCAAAAUUUGGGAAAACUUCCUUCAUGAAAGUUGUAGAGCUCGUCGAUACGAGUUCGUGGACAUGUGGAACGCAUUAUUCGGAGUUCGUAUGAUUAAGUUAUGAAUAUUUGAAAAUUGGGAAUUUUCUAUAAAUAGGAAAAAUAACUGAUUUUUUUUAUUUAAGGACAAAAAAAAUUUCUUUUUGCGGAAGAGCCCCCAGCCCUCCCCGAUUCUCUCUCUCUGUUUUCCCCUCAGACCCGGCGGGUCGAGCUCGACCCGACCCGACUUUUUCACCCUCCUCCGGCCUCCUCUGGCCACGGACCCGGCCUUCCCCGAGCUCGCCGUCGCACGCCCAGCCGUUACCUGCCACCAUCUUGCCCCGCCGCUGCCCCCAGAUGGAGAUCGAAGACGCCCCAGCCGUGUGAACCCGACCCGACCGGAAAACGACUUUUCCGGCGUUGCAUGGGCCGAUCGUCCCCAUUUUCGUGAUCUCCUCCUCAUGCUGAUCAUCCCCAUACGCACGAGAUUAAUCCAACUUCAACGCUUGAUUUAGGACGAUCUAGGCCGAACCAGGCUUAGCUCCAGGUGAUCGAUGGAUUUAUUUGGCGGACGAUUCGUGAGAUUGUUAAUGGAGCUGUUAAGAAGACGCAGCUGGAAUAGAG